ACUUAAUAUUCAAACAAUAAAACAAAAUCAUAUUCUAGGAAGCCUACAGGUAGACUGCAGAAAUUGAGGUUGGAAGACUGAGAACUGUGCAACGCCAGCUGAUUAGCAUCUCGUGAUCUUUCCAUUUCCUAUUAGUGAACCUGCAGCACUAGUGAGCUCAGCGCAGACAGAAGGACAUUGUAACCCUAGGUACAAGACAGACGGACAGCAUGAGAACACUGCUAUUCAACAUAAUUACCAUGAACAUCAUAUGGAUUACAGCAGCGUCCCAACAGCACCAGGUGGACCAGACUCCAGCAGCCGUGCUGGAAGAGCAGAACAGCCGCGGAGUGAACCUGUCCUGCGCGCAUCAAAUCCCCAACCAUUACACCAUCCUCUGGUACCAGCGCUCGCAAGGAAGCAACCGGCUGGAACUCAUCGCCACUGUCUAUUACAAGCAGCUGACCAUCGAGGCUAACUUUACAGGCAUCUUCUCUGUCGACGGGGAUGGAGAGAAGUGGUCUAGACUGGAGCUGCUGAAGCCGAGGAGCCCGGAGGACACGGGAGAGUAUUACUGUGCAGCCAGAAUGCACUGUGAUGAAGAACCAACGUACGCUGCUACAAAAACCCUUAUGUUACCACAAGAGGGUAAAAACCCUGUUUCCUGCUGACGUGUUGAAUCUGGGAAGGGGAGGAGGAGUGUGGAGGGGUACAUUUGGUGGAUACAAAAUACAAAUACCCAGCACUAGGGGGUGUUCUUUAAUUGGUUUGUGUUGAAGUUACAAUAAAAAAAGAAAAUUUAACAGAUCAGGGAUGACAUUUUUAACAUUUUGAUAGCAUUACCUUCUCUCUUCUAAAUAUUUACACAAAAUGUCUCCUCCCACAUUUGUCAUUUCGGUAC